rnacentral:rRNA from 1 species
GACGAACCGUGCGAACGUUGUUCGGAAUCACUGGGCUUAAAGGGCGCGUAGGCGGGCCUUCAAGUCCGGGGUGAAAUCCUCCAGCCUAACUGGAGAAGAGCCUCGGAGACUGAGGGCCUCGAGGGAGGUAGGGGCAAGCGGAACUAUGGGUGGAGCGGUGAAAUGCAUUGAUAUCCAUAGGAACUCCGGUGGCGAAGGCGGCUUGCUGGACCUCUUCUGACGCUGAGGCGCGAAAGCCAGGGGGAGCAAACGGG